GGGAUGGGGUGACUAGUGACAGAGUGAGGAAGGGGGUGACUAGGGACAGAGGGGGUGAUUAGUGACAGAGUGAGUGAGGGGGUGACACAGUGACAGAGUUAGGGAGGGAGUGACUAGUGACAGAGAGAGGGAUGGGGUGACUAGUGACAGUCACCCCCUCCCUCCCUCUGUCACUAGUCACUCCCUCCCUCUGUCACUAGUCAUUCCCUCCCUCUGUCACCAGUCAUUCCCUCCCUCUGUCACCAGUCAUCCCCUCACUCUGUCACUGGUCACCUCUUCCCUCCC